rnacentral:rRNA from 1 species
CAGGAUUCGACAUGCCCUCUAUGGAAAGCUGAAAGGCAUUCCUUCACUUCGGGUGGGAGGAGCACAGGUGCUGCAUGGCUGUCGUCAGCUCGUGUCGUGAGAUGUUGGGUUAAGUCCCGCAACGAGCGCAACCCUCGUCCUCUGUUGCUAACAGGUAAUGCUGAGCACUCUGAGGAAACUGCCGGUGAUAAGCCGGAGGAAGGUGGGGAUGACGUCAAGUCCUCAUGGCCCUUACAUCCUGGGCUACACACGUGUUACAAUGGCGGUGACAAUGGGCAGCGAAGUCGCGAGAUGGAGCUAAUCCCCAAAAGCCGCCUCAGUUCGGAUUGUACUCUGCAACUCGAGUACAUGAAGCUGGAAUCGCUAGUAAUCGUGGAUCAGCACGCCACGGUGAAUA